UACGAAGGGGGCUAGCGUUGUUCGGAAUUACUGGGCGUAAAGGGCGCGUAGGCGGUCCUGAUCGUCGGAUGUGAAAGGCCUGGGCUCAACCUGGGAACUGCAUCCGAUACGGCGGGACUGGAGUGUGGGAGAGGUUGGUGGAAUUCCCAGUGUAGAGGUGAAAUUCGUAGAUAUUAGGAAGAACACCCAGUGGCGAAGGCGGCUCACUGGCCCGGUACUGACGCUGAGGCGCGAAAGCGUGGGAGCAAACAGG
rnacentral:rRNA from 1 species